GUUAAAGAGAAACUCCUCAGUGAAGCGUGUUGAACUAGACAAAGGUUAUAUCAACAUCUACUUGGACGAGCUGAAGAAAGAUAAGACGAGUGUUUACAGCGUCACUCUGGAGGAAGAUGUGCCUGUCGGGAACCUAAAAGCAGCUGUGGUCAAAGUGUACGACUACUACCAGACAAGUGAUGUGGCCAUGACAGAGUACACAUCCCCCUGUGCCAAGUGAGGGGAUCAACAAGCUUUAAAUGAACAUUGAGAAGACAACUCCGAUUCGUAUCUGAAAGACUAUGAAGAUGUUCAUCAAACAUAGAUGUGACUCUUUCAAUUGGUGUAUUGAUUUGAAGGGAAUCCCUGUGAUUACAAAUGAUUUUAUUUCCCUUUUUCUGUGUGUUCCUUUCUUUUAUAAAGUUAGGUUCACGUGUCUUUGGCUCACUACAACACUGGAAAUGUUUGAGGUCUUUUAACCCAUUGAAACCAAGAAGAGAAAAACUUUGCAAAUGUAAAAUUUUAUUAGGAUUGACAAGUCCAUGUUUUUGGAUUGAAAAUGUUUCUCAAAGUGGAGGACAAUAAUACAUUCAAGGUACCAAUAACUGAAUAAAUGAGUGCUAUGUGAGUUGGUGCAUGGGUUUGUUUUGAAUGGUGCUGUACCUUUUCAUAAGAUCAAACUCGUCAC